AUGAUUUCCCGCGGCGAGCGGCUGGCCCUUGUCCGCCACGUCUUCUGCGCGAUGCCCACCCACAUCCUGAUUGCCAUGUCGCUGCACACUUCCAUUCUCCGACAGGUGAACCGCCUCAUUCGCGCAUUCCUCUGGCAAGGCCGGAAAACCACCAACGGAGGGCACUGCCUCGUCAGUUGGGCCAGGAUCUGCCGGCCGCUCGCCUUUGGCGGCCUCGGCAUUCCGGAUCUCCAGCGCUGCGUUGAUACGUCUCCAACGUAUCUAUAA
rnacentral:rRNA from 1 species